UUGAACGCUGGCGGCAGGCCUAACACAUGCAAGUCGAGCGGAAACGAGUUAUCUGAACCUUCGGGGGACGAUAACGGCGUCGAGCGGCGGACGGGUGAGUAAUGCCUAGGAAAUUGCCCUGAUGUGGGGGAUAACCAUUGGAAACGAUGGCUAAUACCGCAUGAUGCCUACGGGCCAAAGAGGGGGACCUUCGGGCCUCUCGCGUCAGGAUAUGCCUAGGUGGGAUUAGCUAGUUGGUGAGGUAAGGGCUCACCAAGGCGACGAUCCCUAGCUGGUCUGAGAGGAUGAUCAGCCACACUGGAACUGAGACACGGUCCAGACUCCUACGGGAGGCAGCAGUGGGGAAUAUUGCACAAUGGGCGCAAGCCUGAUGCAGCCAUGCCGCGUGUGUGAAGAAGGCCUUCGGGUUGUAAAGCACUUUCAGUCGUGAGGAAGGUAGUGUAGUUAAUAGCUGCAUUAUUUGACGUUAGCGACAGAAGAAGCACCGGCUAACUCCGUGCCAGCAGCCGCGGUAAUACGGAGGGUGCGAGCGUUAAUCGGAAUUACUGGGCGUAAAGCGCAUGCAGGUGGUUUGUUAAGUCAGAUGUGAAAGCCCGGGGCUCAACCUCGGAAUUGCAUUUGAAACUGGCAGACUAGAGUACUGUAGAGGGGGGUAGAAUUUCAGGUGUAGCGGUGAAAUGCGUAGAGAUCUGAAGGAAUACCGGUGGCGAAGGCGGCCCCCUGGACAGAUACUGACACUCAGAUGCGAAAGCGUGGGGAGCAAACAGGAUUAGAUACCCUGGUAGUCCACGCCGUAAACGAUGUCUACUUGGAGGUUGUGGCCUUGAGCCGUGGCUUUCGGAGCUAACGCGUUAAGUAGACCGCCUGGGGAGUACGGUCGCAAGAUUAAAACUCAAAUGAAUUGACGGGGGCCCGCACAAGCGGUGGAGCAUGUGGUUUAAUUCGAUGCAACGCGAAGAACCUUACCUACUCUUGACAUCCAGAGAACUUUCCAGAGAUGGAUUGGUGCCUUCGGGAACUCUGAGACAGGUGCUGCAUGGCUGUCGUCAGCUCGUGUUGUGAAAUGUUGGGUUAAGUCCCGCAACGAGCGCAACCCUUAUCCUUGUUUGCCAGCGAGUAAUGUCGGGAACUCCAGGGAGACUGCCGGUGAUAAACCGGAGGAAGGUGGGGACGACGUCAAGUCAUCAUGGCCCUUACGAGUAGGGCUACACACGUGCUACAAUGGCGCAUACAGAGGGCGGCCAACUUGCGAAAGUGAGCGAAUCCCAAAAAGUGCGUCGUAGUCCGGAUUGGAGUCUGCAACUCGACUCCAUGAAGUCGGAAUCGCUAGUAAUCGUGGAUCAGAAUGCCACGGUGAAUACGUUCCCGGGCCUUGUACACACCGCCCGUCAC
rnacentral:rRNA from 1 species